rfam:Roseomonas rosea strain DSM 14916 genome assembly, contig: EJ99DRAFT_scaffold00030.30
UGCCUAGCAAUCGUCCGCGUGACGCACUAUAUGGGUUGGUGCCGCCUUCGGGCGACUAUGGUGAUAAACGGCACGUGGAAUAAGCGUUGUGGACCCGGGGGCAGUGCCCGGCGCCUCCACCAAACCAUCCCGCCUUAUCAGCGGGACGUUGGGGGCGAAACAGGCUCGACGCGCGCGGUAAAGACGUGUCCUUUGCCCGGCAUUGUACCGCCGUUAUCGGGCUAAAUCACAAGUGCCAACGAUAAUGGUCGCGAGACCAUGGCGCUCGCUGCCUAGAGAUAGGUAAGCGCCGUCCGGGGGGAACGGGGCAACAGAAUCCCCCCACC